AGCUCGUUGGUCUAAAGGUAUGAUUCUCGCUCAGGGUGCGAGAGGUCCCAGGUUUAAAUCCCAACGAUCCC